rfam:Candidatus Thrbacteria bacterium RIFCSPHIGHO2_12_FTLL_57_11 rifcsphigho2_12_scaffold_2248, whole genome shotgun sequence.
GCCGGAGUGGCGGAAUUGGCAGACGCGCACGACUCAAAAUCGUGUGCCCAUAAGGCAUGAGGGUUCGAUCCCCUCCUCCGGCA